AACCAAAUAUAGCUCAACACUCAAAUCCCAAAAAUAACUAUUAAAAAAAUUAAAACAAAACAUUUACAAAUCAUUAAAGUAUAGGUGAUAGAAAUUUUAUCUGACGCUAUAGAGAAAGUACCGGCAAGGGAAAGCUGAAAGAGACUUCUAAGUAAAAAACAGCAAAGCUUAACUCUUGUACCUUUUGCAUAAUGAUCCAACUAGUAAAUACUAGCAAAGAGAAUUAAAGUUAGAUUCCCCGAAACCAGGCGAGCUACCUGCCAGCAGCCAACAUGGGCAAACUCAUCUAUGUAGCAAAAUAGUGGGACGACUGCCAGGUAGUGGCGACAAACCUACCGAGCCUGGUGAUAGCUGGUUAUCCAGAGCAGAAUUUUAGUUCUAAUUUAAACCUACCAAACAAAUAAGCAACUUAUAAUGUAGAUUUAAAUAAUAAUCUAAAAAGGUACAGCUUUUUAGAUAAGGAAUACAAUCCCCAUUAGAGAGUAAAUCACAAUUUAACCACAAUAGUCGGCCUAAAAGCAGCCAUCAACUAAGAAAGCGUUCAAGCUCAACAGUACAAUUACUUAAUUCCACCCUAAAGAUGAAACUCCUAACCCAAGACUGGAUUAUUCUAUUCAUAAAUAGAAGCAAUACUGCUGGUAUGAGUAACAAGAAAUAUUUCUCCCUGCAUAUGUGUAUAUCAGAACGAAUAAAUCCCUGAUAGUUACCAAAAUUAAAUAUUUAUCAAUCUUCAAGGUCUUUAGUAUCAAUUGUUAAUCCAACACAGGAAUGCAAACAGGGAAAGAUUAAAAGAAGUAAAAGGAACUCGGCAAACACAAACCUCGCCUGUUUACCAAAAACAUCACCUCUAGCAUAAAAAGUAUUAGAGGCACUGCCUGCCCAGUGACUUCAGUUCAACGGCCGCGGUAUCCUGACCGUGCAAAGGUAGCAUAAUCACUUGUUCCCUAAAUAGGGACUUGUAUGAAUGGCUCCACGAGGGUUUCGCUGUCUCUUGCUUCAAAUCAGUGAAAUUGACAUUCCCGUGAAGAGGCGGGAAUUCAAAAAUAAGACGAGAAGACCCUAUGGAGCUUUAAUUAACUAACUCACAUAAUUCACAACCAAUCCCUCUACAGAGGACAAAUUUACUUUAACUGAGUUAGAAAUUUGGGUUGGGGUGACCUCGGAAUAAAACUUAACCUCCGAGAAAAAUCAAUUAAGACCUACAAGUCAAAAUUAUGUAAAUAAUACACUGAUCCGUCAACGACGAUCAACGAAACAAGUUACCCUAGGGAUAACAGCGCAACCUAUUUAAGAGUCCAUAUCGACAAUUAGGGUUUACGACCUCGAUGUUGGAUCAGGACAUCCCCAAUGGUGCAGCAGCUAUUAAUGUGUUCGUUUGUUCAACGAUUAAAGUCCUACGUGAUCUGAGUUCAGACCGGAGUAAUCCAGGUCGGUUUCUAUCUAUUCAUGAGCCCCUCCUAGUACGAAAGGACAAGAGGGACAGGGCCUACUUAAAAUAAGCGCCCUAGUAAGAUAGAUGAAUUAAUCUUAAUCUUACAACACCCAUAAAUCGUUUUUAGAAAAAAAAAUUAAGUUAAAGUGGCAGAGCUCGGUAAUUGCA
rnacentral:rRNA from 1 species